rnacentral:rRNA from 1 species
UACGGAGGAUGCAAGCGUUAUCCGGAAUGAUUGGGCGUAAAGCGUCCGCAGGUGGCAAUGUAAGUCUGCUGUUAAAGAGUCUAGCUCAACUAGAUAAAAGCAGUGGAAACUACAUAGCUAGAGUACGUUCGGGGCAGAGGGAAUUCCUGGUGUAGCGGUGAAAUGCGUAGAGAUCAGGAAGAACACCAGUGGCGAAGGCGCUCUGCUAGGCCGUAACUGACACUGAGGACGAAAGCUAGGGGAGCGAAAGGG